UACGGAGGAUCCAAGCGUUAUCCGGAUUUAUUGGGUUUAAAGGGUGCGUAGGCGGAUUGAUAAGUUAGAGGUGAAAUGUCCGAGCUCAACUCGGGAACUGCCUCUAAUACUGUUGAUCUAGAGAGUAGAUGCGGUAGGCGGAAUGUAUGGUGUAGCGGUGAAAUGCUUAGAUAUCGCGCAGAACCCCGAUUGCGAAGGCAGCGUACCGGCGCCCGACUGACGCUGAGGCACGAAAGUGCGGGUAUCGAACAGG
rnacentral:rRNA from 1 species